CUGAUACAUGUGAUAGAUCACUGACUGGACAUCACGAGCCAUUGUUAAGAGCUGUCCUCCCCGCAGCAGCCUCCUGUGCCAUCUUGGCUAUUUGACAUCGCUUGCUGAUGGUUCUCAUCUACAUCACAAUGGAUGUUUUCAUUAG